GAAUCGUUCAUGCAGUUCUCCUGUGUACAAUUGCCGUACGUGGCAAAUUAAUUUCAUCUUUAGCAUCAAAGUCAAUGGUGGGCGAUGCAGAAUUAAAUCCAACAAAUAUGUUAUGAGCUCCCAAAGUUAGUUUUAGAUGGAAGAGUCGGCCAGCUUCCUCUGUCGGUGUAUAAAGGAUGAUUGAUCUAAAACAUAAAGGAGUGGAGAAUUUGGAACUUCCUAAAUUUCAAACUUGAUAACCUGUAAAGUAUUUUUAAACCCAGACUUUCUAAAUCUGAUAUCAAAUCUUCAAAUCAAUUCCACAAGCCACUUCUCAUUUUCCCUCAAGAAGCAAGAGCCCAAGAAAUUUCUCAAACUUAAGAAAACCUUUAUUUUGCAUUUCCUUUAACUUAAGAAAGCCCCAUGAAAGAUGUUUUCAUGUUUACUCAACUUGCAAAAUCCAAGUCUUAAAUUAAAUUAGAUACUUACUGAAAUUCAAAUAAAUAAGCGAUAAAAAAGGAUUUCCAGUAUUUGUAUUAGAUGUGGUCUUGUUAUAUUACUUUUAACCAGUUUUUGGAAUCAACCUUGGCUUUGGACCAAUUCGGUGUAAUGCUGAAUUAUUUUGAUUUUGGUUACAUAGCUUAGUUGCCUGAAUUAGGUAAACACUGGGGAGUUUGGGAACAAAGCUUGUCAGUGUAUUGGCACGAAACGGAGGUAAAAGGUGGCAGAAUGGAAGGAGAAGAGAUGAAAGAAGAAGGGAGGAGAGGAGGAGAAAGGGACGCACAGGAGAGAAGGGAUGUGUUGCACGGACCAAUUCCUGAUCCCUGUGGCAUCUGAUUUUUGUUAAUAUGGAGCUGGCCAACUAAUUAGGUAAGUAAAGAAUGAUAUUAUCAUUCCUAAUAGGCGGCCAGCAAUAAACUAUGCAAUAUAUACAAAAAAAUGGCUUCAUUUGACACAAUCUGGGGUUGACUAAUGACCC
rnacentral:lncRNA from 1 species